AGUGAACACUGGCGGUAGGCCUAACACAUGCAAGUCGAACGGCAGCACAGGAGAGCUUGCUCUCUGGGUGGCGAGUGGCGGACGGGUGAGGAAUACAUCGGAAUCUACCUUUUCGUGGGGGAUAACGUGGGGAAACUUACGCUAAUACCGCAUACGACCUACGGGUGAAAGUGGGGGACCGCAAGGCCUCACGCGAUUAGAUGAGCCGAUGUCCGAUUAGCUAGUUGGCGGGGUAAUGGCCCACCAAGGCGACGAUCGGUAGCUGGUCUGAGGGGAUGAUCAGCCACACUGGAACUGAGACACGGUCCAGACUCCUACGGGAGGCAGCAGUGGGGAAUAUUGGACAAUGGCGCAAGCCUGAUCCAGCCAUACCGCGUGGGUGAAGAAGGCCUUCGGGUUGUAAAGCCCUUUUGUUGGGAAAGAAAUCCUGUCGAUUAAUACUCGGUGGGGAUGACGGUACCCAAAGAAUAAGCACCGGCUAACUUCGUGCCAGCAGCCGCCGUAA
rnacentral:rRNA from 1 species